GAUGAACGCUGGCGGCGUGCCUAAUACAUGCAAGUCGAGCGAACAGAUAAGGAGCUUGCUCCUUUGACGUUAGCGGCGGACGGGUGAGUAACACGUGGAUAACCUACUUAUAAGACUGGGAUAACUUCGGGAAACCGGAGCUAAUACCGGAUAAGACUUUGAACCGCAUGGUUCAAUAGUGAAAGACGCCUUUGCUGUCACUUAUAGAUGGAUCCGCGCCGUAUUAGCUAGUUGGUAAGGUAACGGCUUACCAAGGCAACGAUACGUAGCCGACCUGAGAGGAUGAUCGGCCACACUGGAACUGAGACACGGUCCAGACUCCUACGGGAGGCAGCAGUAGGGAAUCUUCCGCAAUGGGCGAAAGCCUGACGGAGCAACGCCGCGUGAGUGAUGAAGGUCUUCGGAUCGUAAAACUCUGUUAUCAGGGAAGAACAAACGUGUAAGUAACUGUGCACGUCUUGACGGUACCUGAUCAGAAAGCCACGGCUAACUACGUG
rnacentral:rRNA from 1 species